GACGAACGCUGGCGGCGUGCCUAAUACAUGCAAGUCGAACGCACAGUUUAUACCGUAGCUUGCUAUACCAUAGACUGUGAUUUGCGAACGGGUGAGUAACGCGUAGUUAACCUGCCUGGCAGCGGGGGAUAACUAUUGCAAACGAUAGCUAAUACCGCAUAAUAUUAAUUAUUGCAUGAUAAUUACUUUAACGGUGCACUCUCACCACUACCAGAUGGUCCUGCGUUGUAUUAGCUAGUAGGGGAGGUAACGGCUCCCCUAGGCGGCGAUACAUAGCCGACCUGAGAAGGUGGUUGGCCAAACUGGGAGUGAGACAAGGCCCAGACGCCUAAGGGAAGGAGCAGGAGGGAAACAUCGGGAAGAGGCGGAAAGCUGACCGAGAAAGGCCGCGUGAGUGAAGAAGGGUGUCGGAUCGUAAAGGACGGUUGUAAGAGAAGAAAGGGUGUGAGGGUGGAAAGUUGACAAUGUGACGGUAUCUGAAGAAAAAGCAACGGCUAACUACGUG
rnacentral:rRNA from 1 species